UGGGGAAUAUUGCACAAUGGAGGGAACUCUGAUGCAGCGACGCCGCGCGAGUGAUGAAGGAAUUCGUUUCGUAAAACUCUGUUCUAUGGGAAGAAAAGGACUGUACCAUAGGAGAAAGCUCCGGCUAAAUACGUGCCAGCAGCCGCGGUAAUACGUAUGGAGCGAGCGUUGUCCGGAAUUAUUGGGCGUAAAGGGUGCGCAGGCGGCUUUACAAGUUGGAUGUGAAAUAUUGUGGCUCAACCACAAACGUGCAUCCAAAACUGCAAAGCUUGAGUUAAGGAGAGGUAAGGGGAAUGCCUGGUAUAGCGGUAGAAUGCGUAGAUAUCAGGAGGAAUACCGGUGGCGAAGGCGACUUACUGGACUUAUACUGACGCUCAGGCACGAAAGCGUGGGGAGCAAACAGG
rnacentral:rRNA from 1 species